AAAGAACAAGUCUGAAGGUGAGAUUAAUGCGUAAUGAAUCUGCCUUUACACGUUUAGGCACUGAAUGAAGCCAAUCCCGUUGAGUAUAACCUCUCAUUACCAGCAAUGAACCAUGUUUUAGGACAAACGAGUGUUUGUCUGGAAAGGCAUCCUUCUUCAAUCGCUUUCUGGGAGGUUCACCACUGGUGUUUUUACCUCGGGAUGUUUUAUCUGGUUUCUUUUUCAGCAAGAAUUCACGUUCACAUCCAAAGGAAAGAGAAGCAAUUUCUGGAGUUGGUCCAUAAAGUUUCUCAUCAUCAGCAUGCCAACCUACAUAGUCAUCGCCUCCCUUGUACCUAUUCAGUAAUAAGCUGUUGAAACGACUUCCUGGAAGAGCUUUAUGGACAGCAUCGAGAAUAUCCUUAAGCGGAGGAAAUUCAUCCCAAGAAUAUGCAUGAGGCUGGUAUCCACUGUAAACUAGUUGUGGUAAUCCUUCACUUGCCACGUAACAAGUGUCUCUGGGCUGGACACAAGAUCGACCGAAG
rnacentral:misc_RNA from 1 species